GAUGAACGCUGGCGGCGUGCUUAACACAUGCAAGUCGAACGGUGAACACGGAGCUUGCUCUGUGGGAUCAGUGGCGAACGGGUGAGUAACACGUGAGCAACCUGCCCCUGACUCUGGGAUAAGCGCUGGAAACGGCGUCUAAUACUGGAUAUGUGACGUGACCGCAUGGUCUGCGUUUGGAAAGAUUUUUCGGUUGGGGAUGGGCUCGCGGCCUAUCAGCUUGUUGGUGAGGUAAUGGCUCACCAAGGCGUCGACGGGUAGCCGGCCUGAGAGGGUGACCGCCAACACGGGGACGGAGCCACGCCCCAGCCCCCUAGGGGGGGAAGAGGGGGGAAUGAUGGCAAAGGGGGCGAAGGCUGGAGGCAGCACCGCGGCGGGGGGGAGGACGGCCUUGGGGUGGUAAACUUUUUUGGGCGGGAAAGAAGGAAAAGUGAGGGUACCGGAAAAAAAAGCGCCGCCUAACUACGU
rnacentral:rRNA from 1 species